UACGUAGGGGGCUAGCGUUGUCCGGAAUCAUUGGGCGUAAAGCGCGUGUAGGCGGUUCGGUAAGUCUGCUGUGAAAGUCGGGGGCUCAACCCUCGGAUGCCGGUGGAUACUGCCGGGCUAGAGUACGGAAGAGGCGAGUGGAAUUCCUGGUGUAGCGGUGAAAUGCGCAGAUAUCAGGAGGAACACCAAUGGCGAAGGCAGCUCGCUGGAACGGUACUGACGCUGAGGCGCGAAAGCGUGGGGAGCAAACAGG
rnacentral:rRNA from 1 species